UACGUAGGGUGCAAGCGUUGUCCGGAAUUAUUGGGCGUAAAGAGCUCGUAGGCGGCUUGUUGCGUCGGCUGUGAAAACCCGCAGCUCAACUGUGGGCUUGCAGCCGAUACGGGCAGGCUAGAAUUCGGUAGGGGAGACUGGAAUUCCUGGUGUAGCGGUGAAAUGCGCAGAUAUCAGGAGGAACACCGGUGGCGUAGACGGCUUUCUGGACCGUAACUGACGCUGAGACACGAAAGCGUGGGUAGCAAACAGG
rnacentral:rRNA from 1 species